AUGGAGGCGAGGCGGGAGAUCGCCAAGCGGGCGCGCACGGCCGGCACGAGCAACGACGACGACGCCGGGAGGCAGGGGAGCGCGGGAGGGGCGGCGGCGGCGUCCCUCGGGGUCGCCGUGAGGACCGGCACGGCGGAGAUGGACGGGGAGGAGUUGGCCGUCGUGGCGGCGGCGGAGGCUGAGGUGGUGGGCUCGGCGGAGACGGAGGAGCACGUCCAGCGCAUCCUCCUCGCCAUCGACAACUUCACCCGCAAGGUGUCGGAGAUGCUGGACUCCGGGCGCGCCAUGUUCAAGGACCUUGCCGCCGACUUCGAGGACCGCCUGUGCACGAUCCACAAGGAGAGGGUGGAGAAGUGGGAGGAGGAGAUCCGGGAGCUGCGCGCCCGCGACGCCGCCAACGAGCGGACCCGCGCCAUGCUCCACAACGCCCAGCUCCAGCUCUUCCACAUCCGCGAAUAG
rnacentral:rRNA from 1 species